AGCCGCCGCGGGAAUACGGAGGGUGCAAGCGUUAAUCGGAAUUACUGGGCGUAAAGCGCACGCAGGCGGUCUGUCAAGUCGGAUGUGAAAUCCCCGGGCUCAACCUGGGAACUGCAUUCGAAACUGGCAGGCUAGAGUCUUGUAGAGGGGGGUAGAAUUCCAGGUGUAGCGGUGAAAUGCGUAGAGAUCUGGAGGAAUACCGGUGGCGAAGGCGGCCCCCUGGACAAAGACUGACGCUCAGGUGCGAAAGCGUGGGGAGCAAACAGGAUUAGAUACCCCUGUAGUCCCUGUCUCUUAUACA
rnacentral:rRNA from 1 species